CUAUGGUAACCCUUCAGAACAUAAUAAGUAUUUAUCAAUACAAAACCGCAUACAACAAAGCGACAACGUAUCCACCAAAGUCGAGCGAAGCAGCAAAGAGAGCAGAUUAUUCUCGAAAUACCGCAGUAAACCACACAGCUCGACCAAAUAGGAAUACACGUAAACACCCGCUCGUAUCAUACAAAGCUGGAAUUCUUAGCGUCACUCCCCACACUUUUGUGAGGCGGCAUCUAAGCGCUUUAGAGCUGCAUUCCACCUGGGCCGCCGUCUGCAGACUCGGGGCAGCAUGUUUGACGAGGAAGACAAAGGACUGCUCUAGCCUUUUCGGUGCGACAAAACUGCGGUCCGCGCCGCCGCAAGACGCUGGAUCGCUGCAGCUCCCAGGAAAUGAGUAGGAAAUUGCCCCAUUAGGCGUGCAAAUCGUGAGCUGCAUCAGAAUUACUCUUUUGCCUGUAAUUUCGCCGGGAACGAGCCCGGAGUGGAGUGACAAAUGCUCGGUAUUGUGCCGGCGAUGGGAUGGUUGCCGCUUGUUUAUUGUCGCUGUUAAAAGGAAGGUGUUCCGCGUGUUUUCGUGUAUCGUUUGGUGUUUUUAUGCUGUUUAAUUUUAGUAUUUAUCUUUCUCCACAAGGCUGACUGGAUGAUUGCGGCUGUG